GAAGUCAAUCUAUAUGCAUAGUGCCAAUCAACACCAAGCGUGACAGAAGAAAAUACCAACCCUUGUCCUGAUUCCACCUCCUCAUCAAUCAAUCCAACCCAUCUUUCUAGGCUACAUGGUCCCCAUGAUCCAUAAAAAACUCUCAAGAGAGCAAGGACUUGGAAUCUGUACACAGGGCAUAUUGUAACUAUGUUUGCAAAAUGACAUGUUUCUUGCUUGUAUAGGUGUGGAAAGGAGCUAGCUGAAAGAUUGGUCUUAGGUCGUGCCUCUCGUGCUUUCUAGUGGUUACAAGUGACAAGGUAGCCACAACCAAUGAGCUAAUGCCUUGCAUGAAUGAUUGGCCCCAAAUCAUAAUCAAUAUUGUAGCAGCCCAAUAUCCAUUGCAUCUCUCCUCCAUCUUAUUAGAGCGAAUCGCUUUCUUUUAUACGUGUUGUUUAAGGUCAUAUAAUUCAUUCCGG
rnacentral:lncRNA from 1 species